rnacentral:misc_RNA from 1 species
AUAAACAACCAUGCCAGCUACUGCAAUAAUCAUCCCCAUUAUGUUCUUGAAAGUCAACUCAGAAUCAAAGAGUAACCACCCCAGUGUGAGAACACAAACUGUUUUCAUGUGACCUAAAACCUGGAAGGAAACUGCUGAGAAUCUUCCAAUGCAGAGGUACUGGCUAAAAUUGCAGAAUACAGCUAAGGAACAGGAAAGAAUUACAAAUAGAAUAGCACCAGUAGACAUCUUAUAGGUUGUUAUAAAUUUUCCAUUGAGGCAGUAAUCAACAAAUGGACCAACAACAAGAAGAGAAAGGGCUUGAAUUGGAGCUG